rnacentral:rRNA from 1 species
AUAUCAAUAAGCGGAGGAAAAGAAACUAACAAGGAUUCCCCUAGUAACGGCGAGUGAAGCGGGAUGAGCUCAAAUUUAAAAUCUGGCUGGUUUACUAGUCCGAAUUGUAGUUUAUAGAAGCGUUUUCGGUGGCAGCCUGGGUAUAAAUCCUUUGGAAUAGGGUAUCAUAGAGGGUGAGAAUCCCGUCUUUGACUCAGUGCAUGCUACUAUGUGAUACGUUUUCAAAGAGUCGAGUUGUUUGGGAAUGCAGCUCAAAAUGGGUGGUAAAUUUCAUCUAAGGCUAAAUAUUGGCGAGAGACCGAUAGCGCACAAGUA